CGGCUGGAUGGGCCCAGGGGGGAAGGAGUUGGAGGUCGGUCCCCUUGGCAAAAAACCACUGUUCAUGCCACCCCUUGUUGCUUGAAGGGGUCUUGAUCGGGACGGUGCGGUUGGGGCGUUUGUUGAGUUGCCGAAGACCGGGCUCUUUUGAACCACUAACGGUGAACAGGGCAAAGAAUAGAUCGAGCCCGGGAUUGAGGCCCACCUC
rnacentral:lncRNA from 1 species